UACGUAGGGUCCGAGCGUUGUCCGGAAUUACUGGGCGUAAAGGGCUCGUAGGUGGCCAACUAAGUCGGACGUGAAAUCCCUCAGCUUAACUGGGGAACUGCGUCCGAUACUGGAUGGCUCGAGUUUGGGAGAGGGAUGCGGAAUUCCAGGUGUAGCGGUGAAAUGCGUAGAUAUCUGGAGGAACACCGGUGGCGAAGGCGGCAUCCUGGACCAACACUGACACUGAGGAGCGAAAGCCAGGGGAGCAAACGGG
rnacentral:rRNA from 1 species